rnacentral:rRNA from 1 species
AUUGAACGCUGGCGGCAGGCUUAACACAUGCAAGUCGAGCGGAGAUGAGGUGCUUGCACCUUAUCUUAGCGGCGGACGGGUGAGUAAUGCUUAGGAAUCUGCCUAUUAGUGGGGGACAACAUUCCGAAAGGAAUGCUAAUACCGCAUACGUCCUACGGGAGAAAGCAGGGGAUCUUCGGACCUUGCGCUAAUAGAUGAGCCUAAGUCGGAUUAGCUAGUUGGUGGGGUAAAGGCCUACCAAGGCGACGAUCUGUAGCGGGUCUGAGAGGAUGAGCCGCCACACUGGGACUGAGACACGGCCCAGACUCCUACGGGAGGCAGGAGUGGGGAAUAUUGGACAAUGGGGGGAACCCUGUUCCAGCCAUGCCGCGUGUGUGAAGAAGGCCUUAUGGUUGUAAAGCACUUUAAGCGAGGAGGAGGCUACUGAGACUAAUACUCUUGGAUAGUGGACGUUACUCGCAGAAUAAGCACCGUCUAACUCUGUGCCAGCCGCCGCGGUAA